GUACAGUUAAAAGAAAAAUGAACCAACAGGACAAUCGGUGCAGGAGUGGGAGCAGCCCUUGAGAAACCAGAGAGUUUGUUUGCUGUUGCUUAGUUACACGUUUGCAGGAGGAGAUCGAGUGACAGAUAAGAAGAGAAGAGCGGAUGGCAACUUCCAGAGGCAUUACAACAAAAGGAUGAAACAAUUUGAAUUUACACCUUUGGAAAAAUCCACAAUUUCACACAGUUUUUAUUUAAAAUGACGUCUUAUUAAUGUUCCUGUUAUCUUUUGUUAUCAAAACUUAUACACAGUAAAUACUGACCUCUGUAUUUUUCCGCGACGUUAUUAGUAAGUGACAGACUUGGAUAAUUGGUGCCAAUAAGAUAAGUGAGAUAGCCAAUAACUCUUGGGAAAGCUAAAAGUUACAUCCCAUUCAAACCAUGACGUCUCAUUUCUUCCAGUAGGGGGCGCUGCCGUUUAAACAGGGUCGCUGUGACCCACGAGUUAAGUUUAAAGCGAGAAGCGCGGUGUCUCUUAUCAGACUUCUCUGCUUUUGUUUAGCUGUUCAUAGGAAAACCCCAGUAAUUGAGCGCUACAGCGAGUCAGUUUUUAGACCAAAGCUUAGCUCUAACAGUUUAGGGAAGUUUUAAAGAAACACUUUAAACAACAGAUAUGUGGAGACAGCAGGACUAAGCGAAGCAGCAGCAGGUGGCGACGGCUGUGGGACAGAUUCCUGGAGCAGAUAACAAAGACCACUGGCCUUUACAUUACAUGACGAUUUUGGACGACCCAAAACACGGGAGGCUGUUUUCAACUCUAAAGUUGUGUUGCACCGAUUAGAUGUUCGUCAGAUAAUGCGGGUCAAAAAAGGCGCUGCUGAAAACAACAGUUUCAGCAUUAACUUGAAGGACCCGAAGCCCAACCAUGUCAUGAAGAUACAUCAACACCAAAAAGAAAGGAACAAAUUUGGAGAGGAAGACUGUAGGGAAGAAGAAUCUAUCAGGAAUCAAAGUCAUGGAGAUGAUUCCAACAUGGGGACUGAAUUCACUGAUGAUGAUGUAAAGCAUCCUGACUCCAAAAACACACACAAGACAAUCCACAGAGGCCAGAAUUUUUUUUUUUUUGUGAGCAUUGUGGGAAAAGAUUUCGCCAAAAAGUAGGUUUGAACCAACACUUGAGAAUCGACACAGGACAGAAGCCUUUUUGUUGUGAUGUUUGUGAUCAAAUAUUUAGUGGGAAGGCAGCUUUACAAGUUCACUUGAGAACCCAUACAGGUGAGAAACCCUUUAGCUGUGAGCUAUGUGAAAAAUCAUUUAGCCAGAAAUCAAAUUUAAUAAAACACACGAGAAUCCACACAGGACAGAAACCAUACUUUUGUGAUGAUUGUGGGAAAAGCUUCAGGGUUAAGACAUCUUUAGACCAUCAUAAGAGAGUCCACUCAGAACAAGAACCUCUCUGUUGUGAUGUUUGUGGACAUAGAUGGAGUUAUAAAUCUGAUCUAGACCAACACAGGAGAGUCCACACAGGUGAAAAACCUUUCUCGUGUGAAAUUUGUGGGAAAAGUUUUAACCAAAGGACAACUUUAAAAACUCACCUCACAAUCCAUACUGGAGAGAGACCUUUCUCAUAUGAUCUUUGUGCACAAAGUUUUCAUCAAAAAGGUGCUUUAAAAGCUCACAGAAGAACCCACACUGGAGAAAAACCUUUCGUUUGUGAUCUUUGUGGACAAAGCUUUUGCCAAAAAGGAGGCUUAAAUGUCACACAAGAGAGCCCACACAGGUGAAAAAUUUUUUUCUUGUGACAUUUGUGGACAAAGAUUUACUCGGAGCGAAAAUUUAAACUCGCACAUUAGAGCCCAUAAGGGACAGAAACCCUUCAGUUGUGAUGUAUGUGGACAAAGGUUUCGUCACAAUUCUGUUUUAUAUCAACAUAAGAUGGGCCACACCGGGGAGAAACGUCACUCUUGUGGAAUGUGUGGGAAACAAUUUACACAGAGUGGAUCUCUAAGCAAACACAUUUUGAUACACACAGGACAUAAGAUUUUUAGAUAAUCUUUGUGGACAAAGCUUUAGAGAAAAAGUUCAUUCAAACAACCUCAUAAGAAUCCACACUGUUGACAAACCAUUCUGUUGUAAUCUUUGUGGACAAACAUUUCAUAAGAAAUCUGUUCUUAAAAUGCAAGAGUGUUCACACAGAAGAGAAACCUUUCUGCUGCAAUGUCUGGGAAACAAUUUAGUCAAGAUGUAAACUUUAAAAACACACAUGAGAGUUUAUACAAGAGAGAAACCUUCCUGUGUUCUCUUUGACAACACCUUACUCCAAAGGCAAAGUUGAAGAGUCGCAUGAGAAUUCACCAGGUUGGAAACCCUUUUGUUGUGAUCUUUGGAAUAAACAAUUUACUUCUAAAGUAUCCUUGAACAAGCAUGUCAGAUCGCACAUCAGUUAACCAUAUUGUCGUGAUGUUUGUGGACAAAUAUUUAAUGAGAAGACUGUGUCAUACCACAUUUGAGCA